rnacentral:tRNA from 1 species
GAGGUGGCACAGUGGCAAAACAUCUGCUUCGUAUCCAGAAAGUCCCCGGUUCAAUCCCCGGCAGCUCCA